UACGUAGGGUGCGAGCGUUAAUCGGAAUUACUGGGCGUAAAGCGUGCGUAGGCGGUCCGCUGUGUCCCGUGUGAAAGCCCCGGGCUCAACCUGGGAAUUGCAUGGGAAACUGGCGGGCUUGAGUGCGGCAGAGGGGGGUGGAAUUCCGCGUGUAGCAGUGAAAUGCGUAGAGAUGCGGAGGAACACCGAUGGCGAAGGCAGCCCCCUGGGCCGACACUGACGCUCAGGCACGAAAGCGUGGGGAGCAAACAGGAUUAGAUACCCUGGUAGUCCACGCCCUAAACGAUGUCGACUAGGUGUUGGGGAAGCGAUUCCUUGGUACCGUAGCUAACGCGUGAAGUCGACCGCCUGGGGAGUACGGCCGCAAGGUUAAA
rnacentral:rRNA from 1 species